rnacentral:lncRNA from 1 species
CGACGCCCGUGUGCACGUUGGUCGACGUGUCGGCAUACGCCUCCCAGCGCGGAUUGCCCACGAGCGCCGCAAUCUCAAGGGCAAGGUGGGCGGCGUUGUCGCCGGCGCACAGGGACGUCUCCAGCCAGUCGCGGGCGCACGGACCCGGCUGCUUCCAAAAGUCUGUGACCCGCUUGACGCCCUCGGACAGAUAGCCGCCCUGGGCCAUCAUGGGAUCGUCAACGUCGACCGUGGCCGCCAGUCGCGCAGGCAACUCGGUGCGCGCCCGAUCGAGCGUGUCGGCGCUGCCCACAUACACCGUCUGACCGUUGAGCGUGAUGACACCGACACCGUCGGCCAGGCGGCAGUCGAGCCUGGAGGCGAUCCAGUCUACCCGGUAUGCCAGAUAGGCCUGCGCCACCAGAUCGAUGGCGGCCCUGGCCGUGGAGGUGCCGUGGCGCCCGCUUGUCGUCGUCGUUAUCGUCGUCGUUGUGAUCUCUCUCGGCCUAUCUGCCGCCACUGCUAACAGAAAUUACCGAUUUUUCUGCCCUG